UACGGAGGGUGCAAGCGUUAUCCGGAUUCACUGGGUUUAAAGGGUGCGUAGGCGGGCAGGUAAGUCCGUGGUGAAAUCUCUGAGCUUAACUCAGAAACUGCCAUGGAUACUAUUUGUCUUGAAUGUUGUGGAGGUAAGCAGAAUAUGUCAUGUAGCGGUGAAAUGCUUAGAGAUGACAUAGAAUACCUAUUGCGAAGGCAGCUUACUACGCAGAUAUUGACGCUCAUGCACGAAAGCGUGGGGAUCAAACAGG
rnacentral:rRNA from 1 species